GAUGAACGCUGGCGGCGUGCCUAAUACAUGCAAGUCGAGCGAACAGACGAGGAGCUUGCUCCUCUGACGUUAGCGGCGGACGGGUGAGUAACACGUGUAUAACCUACCUAUAAGACUGGGAUAACUUCGGGAAACCGGAGCUAAUACCGGAUAAUAUAUUGAACCUCAUUGGUCCAUAGUUGAAUACGGUUUUUCUGUCACUUAUAGAUGGAUCCGCGCCGCAUUAGCUAGUUGGUGAGGUAACGGCUUAACAAGGCAACGAUGCGUAGCCGCCCUGAAAGGGAGGUCCGCCACACUGGAACAGAGAAACGGUCGAGACUCCGACGGGAGGCAGCAGUAGGGAAUCUUACGCAAUGGGCGAAAGCUUGACGGAGCAACGCCGCGUGAGUGAUGAAGGUCUUCGGAUCGUAAAACUCUGUUAGUAGGGAAGAACAAAUGUGUAAGUAACUAUGAACGUAUUGACGGUACCUAAUCAGAAAGCCACGGCUAACUACGUG
rnacentral:rRNA from 1 species